AUUGAACGCUGGCGGCGUGCUUAACACACGCAAGUCGAUCGGUAACGCGGGGGCAACCCUGGCGACGAGAGGCGGACGGGUGAGGAACGCUUGGGAAUCUGCCUAUCAGCGGGGGACAACACGGGGAAACUCGUGCUAAUACCGCAUGCGCUCUACGGAGGAAAGCCGGGGACCGCAAGGCCUGGCACUGAUAGAUGAGCCCAAGCCGGAUUAGCUAGUUGGCGGGGUAACGGCCCACCAAGGCGACGAUCCGGAGCUGGUCUGAGAGGACGAUAAGCCACACUGGGACGGAGACACGGGCCAGACUCCUACGGGAGUCAGCAGUGGGGAAUAUUGGACAAUGGGGGAAACCCUGAUCCAGCGACGCCGCGUGGGUGAAGAAGGCCUGCGGGUUGUAAAGCCCUUUCGGUAGGGACGAAAGCUCUCGACCUAACACGUCGGGAGGUUGACUUAACCUACAAAAGAAGCACCGGCUAACUCUGUGCCAGCCGCCGCCGUAACAC
rnacentral:rRNA from 1 species